rnacentral:rRNA from 1 species
AUUGAACGCUGGCGGCAGGCCUAACACAUGCAAGUCGAACGGUAACAGGAAGAAGCUUGCUUCUUUGCUGACGAGUGGCGGACGGGUGAGUAAUGUCUGGGAAACUGCCUGAUGGAGGGGGAUAACUACUGGAAACGGUAGCUAAUACCGCAUAACGUCGCAAGACCAAAGAGGGGGACCUUCGGGCCUCUUGCCAUCGGAUGUGCCCAGAUGGGAUUAGCUAGUAGGUGGGGUAACGCCUCACCUAGGCGACGCUCCCUAGCUGGCCUGAGAGGAUGACCAGCCACACUGGAACUGAGACACGGUCCAGACUCCUACGGAAGGCAGCAGUGGGGAAUAUUGCACAAUGGGCGCAAGCCUGAUGCAGCCAUGCCGCGUGUAUGAAGAAGGCCUUCGGGUUGUAAAGUACUUUCAGCGGGGAGGAAGGGAGUAAAGUUAAUACCUUUGCUCAUUGACGUUACCCGCAGAAGAAGCACCGGCUAACUCCGUG